ACAACAAAUACCUGCUAUACAGAAUAUUCUACAUUUUGCUUUUUAUAUGUGGUGGAGAUCACUCCAACAUAAUGACUUUCUUCACUCUACUAAUAGCUUCGCAUACAAAGCCAUGUGUCUCCUAAUUUCUCAGCCAAUAAAAUGCAAAUUAUGAAUAUGUAUUUCCAAAAUUGUAAGUUCUUUGAAUCUAACGUGGGAAGAAAAUAUUUACGCCAUUCAGCCUAGAGAGCUAAUGAAGCACCCCAAUGAGGCAGGAUGUGUUUGGAUGAAUAGAAGGCACAUGAUCCAUUCACAGUUACAAAAAACAUUUUAUUUUACUUACGUGGACAUGAGAAGUAUGAUACAUUCUAAAUAAAAGAGUAUCAAAAUACAAUUUCAGUGGCCAAAUAUGAAUCUUACACAAGCAUCUUGUACUCUGGUUCUUUUGAUUAAACUGUCCUCUAUGUCUCUUCAGUUUCCAAAAAUAAGACUAAUUUUCAUUAAUCUGUGAUACGCACCAGGUAUUACUUUUCAAAAGAGAGACCAUGGUUCCUGCUCCAUUUUUUGUACCACAUACGCCACCCCAUCAUUCUACUCAGUGAAAAUGUCCUUCUCUCAAUAUCCUGGCCUACUCGGUUUCAUGAUCACCAGUACGGCAAUCCUCUCCUAUAACUGUCAACAGAGGUCCAGAGUCAUACAAACAAAUCUAGAGAAGGGCCAAUGACCUAAGAAAGCAUAAUAAUUUAGAUAAUACUUUUACAUCUAUUCCCUGCCACUUCCCGUGUUCUCAAAUUUAUACUAGAUUGUAUCUUAAAAUUACUGUCCUAGUUUUUCCAGGUUCCAUGGGUAUGAAUAAACGCCAUCUAAUGAAGGAGCUCCUUUCAUCUUACGGAUCCCUUCCCUGAGACCAUAAUGGUGAGAAAUGAAAAGCAUGUAUGAAAGUAUAACAAAACAGGUUUCAAACUUCAGGUGGUAAGCCAUCAAUAAAUGUAGCCUUUUCCAGAAACCUCAAAGAACUGAAUGAAAUCAUUUUAUAAACUGAGGGUAAUUAGACCCUUCCACAGAUGUCCUUACUACAUGGACACACAUCAUCUCACGAGUUUUAAACAAUUUCACUUUUAAUUGUCUGUGGAAUUUAACAUCUGAGGUUGGUUAAUCUUCGAAAACAAUAGACUUAGUUGCCUCUACUAUGAAUUUUCUUAUGUACAGUUCAUUGAGAGAAUUGGUGAAACAAUUCAUCACUUUCCUUACAUGGGUACUAAUUCUGUCUGAAUAUUUCUGCCUGAAUUCUUAGGUGUAUCAUGAGGUCAUUGUUUACAGACCUUGAUAGCUUUGUAUGGUUUUCAUCUUAUAUGAAUUCUUUCAUGACCACAAAGUUGUACAUUUUUUAUAAAGCUGGUCACACUCAUUACAUUUAUAAGGUUUCUCUCUAGUAAGAAUUCUGUUCCACAAGGCUUAAACUUUGGGUACACCUUACCAUGUUACAUUUGUGUGGUUUCUCUCAAAGAUGCGUAUUCUGAUAUCAAGUGAGGUGUGAGCCCUGGUUACUGGCUUUCUCACAUCCAUUACUUUUAUAUGGUUUCUCUCCAGGAUGGAGUCUCUGAUGCUGAAUAAAGCUUGAACACGUACAUAAGUUUUGUCUUAAUCAUUAUAUUUGUAAGGUUUCCUUCUGCUAUGAAUUCUCUGAUGAUCCCCAAAGCUUGACCUCUGAAUAAAAGCAGUGCCACAUAUAUUAGGUUUAUAAUGUUUCUUUUCAGUAUGUAUUUUCUGAUGCCUAGUUAGGUUUGCAAAUUGGGUAAAAGCUCUGCCACACUCAUUACAUUUGUAAGGUUUCUCUCCAGUGUGUAUUUUCCGAUGUCGAUUGAGAUGUGAACGCUCCAUAAAGGCUUUGCCGCACUCAUUGCAUUUGUAAGGUUUCUCUCCAGUAUGAGUUCUCUCAUGACCCCAAAGGUGUGAAUGUUGGAUAAAAGCCUUAUCACAUUUAUUACAUUUAUAAGACUUUUUCCUAGUGUGUGUUUUCCCAUAUUGUGCAGGUAACGAAGGAUAUUUAAAAACCUUCCUAUAUUUAUUACAAAUGUUUUUAACACUAGAAGGAAUUAUUUGAAGUGGUGAAACUGAGGAACCAUUGUUAAUAGACUUCCCAACUUGACUGCAUUCAUAAACUUUCUCCUCAGUUUGAAAUCUCUGCAGUUCAGCAAGGUGGGCCUGCAAACUUAAUCCAGGUCUAUUUUCCAAACACCUUAUAUACUUGUUUCCAGCAUCGCUCAUGUUAUUUUUCAGUU
ensembl:lncRNA